AUACGUAGGUGACAAGCGUUAUCCGGAUUUACUGGGCGUAAAGGGCGUGUAGGCGGUCUUGCAAGUCAGAAGUGAAAUUCCUGAGCUCAACUCGGGCGCUGCUUCUGAAACUGCAGGACUUGAGUGCUGGAGGGGAUAGCGGAAUUCCUAGUGGAGCGGUAAAAUGCGCAGAUAUUAGGAAGAACACCGGUGGCGAAGGCGGAUAACUGGAAAGUAACUGACGCUGAGGCGCGAAAGCGGGGGGAGCAAACAGGAUUAGAUACCCUGGUAGUCCACGCUGUAAACGAUGAAUACUAGGUGUAGGGGGUAUCGACUCCCUCUGUGCCGCAGUUAACACAAUAAGUAUUCCGCCUGGGGAGUACGGCCGCAAGGUUGAAACUCAAAUGAAUUGACGGGG
rnacentral:rRNA from 1 species